rnacentral:rRNA from 1 species
UAGGGAAUCUUCGGCAAUGGGGGGAACCCUGACCGAGCAACGCCGCGUGAGUGAAGAAGGUUUUCGGAUCGUAAAGCUCUGUUGUUAAGGAAGAACGAGUGUGAGAAUGGAAAGUUCAUGCUGUGACGGUACUUAACCAGAAAGGGACGGCUAACUACGUGCCAGCAGCCGCGGUAAUACGUAGGUCCCGAGCGUUGUCCGGAUUUAUUGGGCGUAAAGCGAGCGCAGGCGGUUAGAAAAGUCUGAAGUGAAAGGCAGUGGCUCAACCAUUGUAGGCUUUGGAAACUGUUUAACUUGAGUGCAGAAGGGGAGAGUGUAAUUCCAUGUGUAGCAGUGAAAUGCGUAGAUAUAUGGAGGAACACCGGUGGCGAAAGCGGCUCUCUGGUCUGUAACUGACGCUGAGGCUCGAAAGCGUGGGGAGCGAACAGG